rnacentral:tRNA from 1 species
GGGCCCGUAAGUUAGUAUGGAUAGACUGCCGGCCUUCGGAGCCGGAUGUCGUGGGUUCAAAUCCUGCCGGGCCCG